UACGAAGGGGGCUAGCGUUGCUCGGAAUCACUGGGCGUAAAGGGUGCGUAGGCGGCGCGGUAAGUCGGGUGUGAAAUCUUGGAGCUUAACUCCGAAACUGCAUUCGAUACUGCCGUGCUUGAGGACUGGAGAGGAGUACUGGAAUUUACGGUGUAGCGGUGAAAUGCGUAGAUAUCGUAAGGAAGACCAGUGGCGAAGGCGGGUCUCUGGACAGUUC
rnacentral:rRNA from 1 species